UACAGAGGGGGCAAGCGUUGUUCGGAAUUACUGGGCGUAAAGGGCGCGUAGGCGGCCUGUUAAGUCGAACGUGAAAUCCCCAGGCUCAACCCGGGAACUGCGUCCGAUACUGGCAGGCUUGAAUCCGGGAGAGGGAUGCGGAAUUCCAGGUGUAGCGGUGAAAUGCGUAGAUAUCUGGAGGAACACCGGUGGCGAAGGCGGCAUCCUGGACCGGCAUUGACGCUGAGGCGCGAAAGCCAGGGGAGCAAACGGG
rnacentral:rRNA from 1 species